GACGUAGGGUGCGAGCGUUGUCCGGAUUUAUUGGGCGUAAAGAGCUCGUAGGCGGCUUGUCGCGUCGACUGUGAAAUCCCGAGGCUCAACCUCGGGUCUGCAGUCGAUACGGGCAAACUGGAGUGUUGCAGGGGAGACUGGAAUUCCUGGUGUAGCGGUGAAAUGCGCAGAUAUCAGGAGGAACACCGGUGGCGAAGGCGGGUCUCUGGGCAACAACUGACGCUGAGGAGCGAAAGCGUGGGGAGCGAACAGG
rnacentral:rRNA from 1 species